GAUCCUGGCUCAGGACGAACGCUGGCGGCGUGCUUAACACACGCAAGUCGAACGAAAAGAGGGAAAGAGCUUGCUCUUUCCGGAAUUGAGUGGCAAACGGGUGAGUAACACGUAAACAACCUGCCUUCAGGAUGGGGACAACAGACGGAAACGACUGCUAAUACCGAAUAAGUUCCAAGGGCCGCAUGGCCCAUGGAAGAAAAGGUGGCCUCUACCUGUAAGCUAUCGCCUGAAGAGGGGUUUGCGUCUGAUUAG
rnacentral:rRNA from 1 species